rnacentral:rRNA from 1 species
AUUGAACGCUGGCGGCAUGCCUUACACAUGCAAGUCGAACGGUAACGGGCCUUCGGGUGCCGACGAGUGGCGAACGGGUGAGUAAUGUAUCGGAACGUACCUUUCAGUGGGGGAUAACGUAGCGAAAGUUGCGCUAAUACCGCAUACUCUGUGAGCAGGAAAGCAGGGGAUCGCAAGACCUUGCGCUAAUUGAGCGGCCGAUAUCAGAUUAGCUAGUUGGUGAGGUAAAGGCUCACCAAGGCUACGAUCUGUAGCGGGUCUGAGAGGAUGAUCCGCCACACUGGAACUGAGACACGGUCCAGACUCCUACGGGAGGCAGCAGUGGGGAAUUUUGGACAAUGGGGGCAACCCUGAUCCAGCCAUGCCGCGUGAGUGAAGAAGGCCUUCGGGUUGUAAAGCUCUUUCGGCCGGGAAGAAAUCGUAUCAGCUAAUACCUGGUGCGGAUGACGGUACCGGCAUAAGAAGCACCGGCUAACUACGUGCCAGCCGCCGCGGUAACAC